rnacentral:snRNA from 14 species
AUCUCAGUGCACGGGCUUUACGCGUUACAGUGAGGAUUCGUCCGAGUACGUGUUAUUGCUAGUUGAAAACUAUACAACUGACCGCUCCUUGAGGUCCUCACGGAUCUCAUGGGAAUUUUUGAAUAACCUACUAUGACCUUUUCAUUAUCAUCAGCGCCUUGAGCGAAGAGAUAGAGAAGAGGGU